UGCAAGCACAUACAUUCUACCUGUGUUGCAAACACACAACCCUUGUCUGUUACAAGGAAAGACCACCUCCAUAAGGGGAGAUAAUGAAGAAGGAAGUGAGAGAAGAGGCCAGCCCCACCAGCAAGUAUGAACCGAGCCUGGAGAAGAUCUUGCUUCUGGCCUUUUGAGUCCACUUAAGACAAGGAACUCUGGACUGUCACAUGGAUCAGAAACUUCCCUGAGACUUGCUGAUGCCAAUAAAGGAUGGACACACAUCUUCACUGAACAACUGACUGGAGUCUUGGCUUCACUAGAGAUGACAGGAUUACCUGCUUCUGAAUAACUUGUUUUCUAUAGGCCAGCAUCUAACUUAACUGCCUUUGCAUCUUGGUGAGCAGAUACCUGCUUCCUUAGAUCCCGCAGUCUUCUCAUGGUACCAAGACUGCCUCUUGCUUUCCUGGGUCCAUGUGUUAAAGACUUCCCAUCUCACCCCACACAUUCAAAUCCAGACCAUCUUUCUCGACCUUUCCAGACCUCCUUUGCAGAGGUUCAUUCCCUGCAUCAUGUUCUAUCUUUCUUCUCAACAAUAUUUCUGUGCUUUCACAAAAGUUACCGGCAUCAUUUUAUAACUUUAACUUUUUUGGUAACAUGGUAUUUAUAAAUUUGGACUGCCAUCUAACUUUAUAGAUGUUCAUGCCCCAUAUGUUUCCUAGAAUAAUAAGAUUUUAGUGCCAGG
rnacentral:lncRNA from 1 species